GUUAAUAAAAAUCGGGUGCGUUGCAAUUUUUGUGACGUUUCCGGAGUUUGAGUUAUCUUAAUUAACUUCGGUUUUAAGAGGCUUAAAAUUGACCUUUUUGUGCAUUUUAGACGUACAUAAAUUUUUUUUUAUUCGUCCAUUCUAAUGCCAAAAUCUAUUAGAUGCGACCAUAUCUUGUGGUUCCGUGUCUAUAAAAUUUUCAUGA
rnacentral:misc_RNA from 1 species